rnacentral:misc_RNA from 1 species
UAGAUGUUAAGACUUUACACCUGUUGG